rnacentral:rRNA from 1 species
UGACACAGCGACGCCGCGUGGGGGAUGACRGCUUUCGGGUUGUAAACCCCUUUUCUCAGGGAAGAACAAUGACGGUACCUGAGGAAUAAGUCUCGGCUAACUACGUGCCAGCAGCCGCGGUAAUACGUAGGAGGCGAGCGUUAUCCGGAUUUACUGGGCGUAAAGCGGGCGUAGGCGGUCCUUCAAGUCGGAUGUAAAAUCUCCCGGCUCAACUGGGAGGGACCAUUCGAAACUGCUGGACUUGAGGAUAGCAGAGGGAGGUGGAAUUCCCGGUGUAGUGGUGAUAUGCGUAGAUAUCGGGAGGAACACCAGUGGCGAAGGCGGCCUCCUGGGCUAUWUCUGACGCUGAGGCCMAAAAGCGUGGGGAGCGAACAGGAUUAGAUACCCUGGUAGUCCACGCUGUAAACGAUGGACACUAGGUAUGGG